GAUGAACGCUGGCGGCGUGCCUAACACAUGCAAGUCGAACGAUGAAACCGCCCUCGGGCGGACAUGAAGUGGCGAACGGGUGAGUAACACGUGACCAGCCUGCCCCUUGCUCCGGGACAACCUUGGGAAACCGAGGCUAAUACCGGAUACUCCUCGCCCCCCUCCUGGGGGGCCCGGGAAAGCCCAGACGGCAAGGGAUGGGGUCGCGGCCCAUUAGGUAGUAGGCGGGGUAACGGCCCACCUAGCCCGCGAUGGGUAGCCGGGUUGAGAGACCGACCGGCCACAUUGGGACUGAGAUACGGCCCAGACUCCUACGGGAGGCAGCAGUGGGGAAUUUUGCGCAAUGGGGGAAACCCUGACGCAGCAACGCCGCGUGCGGGACGACGGCCUUCGGGUUGUAAACCGCUUUCAGCAGGGAAGAAAUUCGACGGUAC
rnacentral:rRNA from 1 species